AACGAACGCUGGCGGCAUGCCUAACACAUGCAAGUCGAACGAGACCUUCGGGUCUAGUGGCGCAAGGGUGCGUAACGCGUGGGAACCUGCCCUUAGGUUCGGAAUAACUCCCCGAAAGGGGUGCUAAUACCGGAUAAUGUCUUCGGACCAAAGAUUUAUCGCCUUUGGAUGGGCCCGCGUUGGAUUAGCUAGUUGGUAGGGUAAAAGCCUACCAAGGCGACGAUCCAUAGCUGGUCUGAGAGGAUGAUCAGCCACACUGGGACUGAGACACGGCCCAGACUCCUACGGGAGGCAGCAGUGGGGAAUAUUGGACAAUGGGCGAAAGCCUGAUCCAGCAAUGCCGCGUGAGUGAUGAAGGCCUUAGGGUUGUAAAGCUCUUUUAACCGGGAUGAUAAUGACAGUACCGGGAGAAUAAGCUCCGGCUAACUCCGUG
rnacentral:rRNA from 1 species